rnacentral:rRNA from 1 species
UACGAAGGGGGCUAGCGUUGCUCGGAAUCACUGGGCGUAAAGCGCACGUAGGCGGAUUGCUAAGUCAGGGGUGGAAUCCUGGAGCUCAACUCCAGAACUGCCUUUGAUACUGGCGAUCUCGAGUCCGGGAGAGGUGAGUGGAACUGCGAGUGUAGAGGUGAAAUUCGUAGAUAUUCGCAAGAACACCAGUGGCGAAGGCGGCUCACUGGCCCGGUACUGACGCUGAGGUGCGAAAGCGUGGGGAGCAAACAGG